AGCAGCCGCGGUAAUUCCAGCUCCAAUAGCGUAUAUUAAAGUUGUUGCAGUUAAAAAGCUCGUAGUUGAAUUUCGGGGUUAGUAGGUUGGUCGUGCCACUGGUACGUACUGGUCUCACUGAUUCCUCCUUCCUGAUGAACUGUAAUGCCAUUAAUUUGGUGUUGCAGGGAAACUGGACUGUUACUUUGAAAAAAUUUAGAGUGUUUAAAGCAAGCUAACGCUUGAAUACAUUAGCAUGGAAUAAUGAAAUAGGACGUUCGAUCCUAUUUUGUUGGUUUCUAGGAUUGACGUAAUGAUUAAUAGGGAUAGUUGGGGGCAUUAGUAUUCAAUUGUCAGAGGUGAAAUUCUUGGAUUUAUUGAAGACUAACUACUGCGAAAGCAUUUGCCAAGGAUGUUUUCAUUAAUCAAGAACGAAAGUUAGGGGAUCGAAGACGAUCAGAUACCGUCGUAGUCUUAACCAUAAACUAUGCCGACUAGGGAUCGGAUGAUGUUAAUUUUUUCAAUGACUCAUUCGGCGCCU
rnacentral:rRNA from 1 species